AAGUUUUCGGACAGAAAGGUGACUGAGCGGCGGACGGGUGAGUAACGCGUGGGUAAUCUGCCUCAUACAGGGGAAUAACAGCUAGAAAUGGCUGCUAAUGCCGCAUAAGCGCACAGGACCGCAUGGUCUGGUGUGAAAAACUCCGGUGGUAUGAGAUGAACCCGCGUCUGAUUAGUUAGUUGGCAGGGUAACGGCCUACCAAGACGACGAUCAGUAGCCGGCCUGAGAGGGUGGACGGCCACAUUGGGACUGAGACACGGCCCAGACUCC
rnacentral:rRNA from 1 species